CGCGCGCCAGGCCCCUGCGCUCACCAGCACCGCCUGCUCCAGCCGCUCGCAGCCCUGCACGUAAGCCGAUUCCAGGUCCACGCAGUGCGCCCGGCUCUCCCUGCAGAAGGCGGCGGGUGAGGCCCGCUCCGGCCGCCCCCAGCCCCCUCCCCUCGAGCCCCCUCUACGCACCCCUGCAUGUCGCGGAAGCAGCGGAUGCACAACAGCAACUUCUUGUCGGUUGAGAACAAGAGAAGUACGUGGUCUCCACGUCCUGCGGGCCGAGCGCGGGCUCAGGAGCGCCAGAGCCCGACCGCGGCCAGCGCGGGAACCGCAGCCUCCGCGUAUCACUGCGCGUGUUUCUCCCAGCCGUGGCCGGGUGCGCGGCUAAACGCAGCCCUUUCCAGUAAUCCAGGCACUUGGCGCUCUGAUAUACCCGCUUUACAGGUCACAGUUGGCACAGCGCACCGCCUCCACGCCAUCCCCUGAGCUGUCCACCAGGAACUGCAGCAGCCGGUCCACCGGCGGGAGCCCGCUGGGACCCUUCACCACCGUCUGGUGUCUGCAGAGAAGCCCAGGUCAUCGCAGCCGCAUUUCCUCGGCGGCCAAUUGGGGGCGUCAGAGAGCAGCGGACGCCCCUCCACCGACUUUCCAGCGCUUGGGAGGCGGAGUGAGACGCCCUGGAAUCCCAGCCCUGCCUUUCGUUGGUUGUGAGCUCUUGGCCAUGUUACUGACCUCUCAGAGCCUCAGCGCUGGGUUAAAAUAGAACUGGUGUCCUGAUAAUGGGUCGACGUGAUCAGUGAGCUUUCUCCGCCCGUGUUAUCCUGAGUGUCCGGAGAGCAGCCCGUUUCUGCCCCUCUUGGGAUUACAAAGUCAAGCCUAGAGCCUGACCCACAGUAGUGCCCAAUAAAGGCUUAGAAAAAACUCGGAGAUAUUUGA